rnacentral:lncRNA from 1 species
GGCUGCUUGGGUUCCUGGCAUGCUGAUUUGUGACUUAAGAUUAAAAUCACAUUGCCAGGGAUUACCACGCAACCACGACCUUGGCUGCUCCUCCAGAAACCGUGGUCGCGCUCACUGCAGAUUGGAGAACAGGUGCAUCUCGUAGCUCUUCUUUGGAAACAAAAGAAGCCACCAGCUGAGGAAGAUGCUCACCGGUCACCGUCCCUUUAUUUAUGCCCAGCGAUGACCUCUCUAACAAGGUGCAGAGCUUAGCUGAUUGGUGAACAGUGAUUGGUUUCCGCUUUGUUCACAGUGGCUAAGUUCUGCACCUGAAGAGAAGGUGAGAUGGGGACAGUUAAGUUGGAGCCGCUGGGGCAGAGGCCGUUGCUGACGGGCCGGCCGCUGCUGCACAGUCAGCUUGGGUGCGGAGCGCGAUCCUGGAGGAUGAGAGACCACUUGACCCCAAGGAUGCACUGUCUCCUGCUGGGAAUGCUAGCCAUGUACUGAGUCCUUAAGUCUGUCCACAGAAACAUGCACUAAUCGGACAUCUGUCUGAAAGGUCAAAUGUAUUGAAAGUUGCAAAAAUUCUUCUUACAAAAAACUAAAACCAAAUGCAUCACCUAAGUCGUGUGAAAUCAUGUGGUAGCUCAUGGCUGUGAGCGGGGCGGGGCGGGGCUUUCGGAGGAGCUCCUGUUGUUCUGGGCGCGGUGAACUCUCUCUUGUAUUUGCAGUCCAGGCCUUCGCGUCUCCUGCGCCAGCAGACGGUGCCCACGGAGCUCCCAGCUGAGGCGCUGCUUCUCCGGGCUGUCGAUUGGACCCGCCCUCCGGUGCCUACUGAGCUGAUAUCAGUUCUCAUUUUACACACUGGCUCAGUUCAGCAGGAACAGGAG